AUUGAACGCUGGCGGCAGGCCUAACACAUGCAAGUCGAGCGGAUGAAGGGAGCUUGCUCCUGGAUUCAGCGGCGGACGGGUGAGUAAUGCCUAGGAAUCUGCCUGGUAGUGGUGGAUAACGUCCGGAAACGGGCGCUAAUACCUCAUACGUCCUGAUGGAGAAAGUGGGGGAUCUUCGUACCUCACGCUAUCAUAUGAGCCUAGGUCGGAUUAGCUAGUUGGUGGGGUAAAGGCCUACCAAGGCGACGAUCCGUAACUGGUCUGAGAGGAUGAUCAGUCACACUGGAAAUGAGACAAGGUACAGACUACUACGGGAGGCAGCAGUGGGGAAUAUUGGACAAUGGGCGAAAGCCUGAUACAGCAAUGCCGAGUGUGUGAAGAAGGUCUUCGGAUUGUAAAGCACUUUAAGUUGGGAGGAAGGGAAGUAAGUUAAUACCCUGCUGUUUUGACGUUACCAACAGAAUAAGCACCGGCUAACUUCGUG
rnacentral:rRNA from 1 species